rnacentral:rRNA from 1 species
GACGAGGGGUCCAAGCGUUGUUCGGAAUCAUUGGGCGUAAAGCGGGUGUAGGUGGCUUUGUAAGUCAGGAGUGAAAUCCCCGAGCUUAACUUGGGAAGUGCUUUUGAAACUGCAGAGCUUGAAUGUGGGAGAGGAUCGUGGAAUUCCAGGUGUAGUGGUGAAAUACGUAGAUAUCUGGAGGAACACCAGUGGCGAAGGCGACACGCUGGGCCGUACCUGACACUGAUGCGCGACAGCAUGGGGAGCAAACAGG